AUGGCGAUGAUCCUGAACUUCUUUGUUUCAAGAUACCUUAAAGUCGUAACAGAGUUUCUGGAGGGAGAGAUAUGCAAGGUGCUAGGUGUGAAGAAGGAGAUCAAAUCGCUGACGGAAAACUUGGUCAAAAUCAGAUGUCUGAUCCAAGAUGCAGAGCGGAAGAGGCGUGGGAGCGCCGUCAUUGACAACGGGGUGAGGAUGCUGAAAGAUCUCAUGUACGAUGCCGAUGAUAUCAUCGAUCUCUGCACGAUCGAAGGUGGGAAACUGUUGGAAGCUCCGCCGGCAUCAGCGUCAGCGGUAAGCUCCCCUCUCGGCUUUGUUUCCUCUAGCUUUAUGUGCACUAAAUACCGUCAUGAGAUCGCUACCAAAAUCGAAGCACUUAAUGCUAGACUGAAAGAAAUGGCCGAGUUCAAUGCCUUGGUGCCUGAGAUAGUGUCGGCAUCCCAAGAACCCCAACCUUACAAAACAACUACACGGGAGACAUCUCCCUUAGAAGUUGAGGAGGACAUUGUAGGGGAACAGAUUGAAGUAGCUGCCCACAAUCUGAUUGAUGCCAUGCUCCAGAAAAUUAAGCAAAAGUGUCGUGUUUUUGGGAUUGUAGGGAUGGGUGGCAUCGGAAAGACCACUUUAGCACGUCAAAUAUACAACGACCAAAGGAUCAAGGACAACUUUCCCAUCAGUAAAUGGUUGUAUGCGUCUAAGGAGUAUUCCGAGAUCGAUUUACUGAAAGAGCUAGUGAGGUGUGCGGCCGAAGGUGCAGAAUCUUUUAGGGGAGAAAGCAGGUCAGAAUUGGAACCUAAACUCGCCUCUCUCCUGACCAAAAACUUGUUUCUCGUGUUGGACGACGUUUGGAGUGCAACUGUUUGGAAUGAUUUCCUCAGGAGACCACUAAGUAAAGGAGUAGGCAGCAGCAUGAUCUUAGUUACCACGAGAAAAGAAAGUGUGUUGAUAGGUAUCAGAUAUAGCUAUAUCCACCAAGUGGAGAAAAUGAAUGAAAAUAGUGGGUGGAUGUUGCUUCGGAAGAUAGUAUUCGAAGCUGGGGAGGAGGAUGACAUGCGUAGGUAGGAAAAUUGUUAGAAAAUGUGAUGGACUUCCUCUUUCCAUUAAAGCUAUUGCAGGGGUUUUAGCUUAGAAGAACAGAAGCAUAGUGAAGUGGGAAGAAGUCCUUGAGAGUGAUGCUUGAAGUAUGAACAAGAUGGAGGAUGAAGUACCGGGGGCUUUGAAUUUGAGCUACGAGGAUUUACCAUCUUACCUCAAACAAUGUUUUAUCUAUUGCUCCUUAUACCCAGAGAGAAGUACUAUACAUUUCAGACAAAUCGUUCGGUUUUGGGUGGCUGAAGGCCUUAUCGUAGAACAUGGAAAUAAUAAUAGGUUGAUGGAAGAUGUAGCCGAGGAGUACUAUCGGGAACUAGUUUGGAGGAAUCUGCUACAGUUGGAUCCAUUAUACGCAGACAAUAGUCGUUGCUCUAUGCAUGAUCAUUUACGAUCC